ensembl:lncRNA
CAAAUGCAUCCUGAAACUUCUCCGACAGACUUGGUCAAAAUGUGCACCAUAAACAGACAGAGAACAUUCAGUGUGGUGGCCAGAGAGAUCCUGACCCAGUUCCAGGUUUGGCAGCGGGCCUGCUACAGUAGAAACAUUGAAUGGGGCCCAAUUACAGCAAAGAUCAUUUCUGCUUUACCGUAUUUGUCUGGGAGGGAGACGGAGGUGAUUGUGCGCUGUACUAAAAUGCUACAUAAUCGCAGGGAUUACCUCCGUAGGAGAGCAAAGUGACACCUGUUAAGGGGUGGGAUAUAUUACGCAGCAUCAGAGUUGAUGUGUUGGAAGCAGGAAAAAUGGGUAAGCGUAAGGAGCUGAGUGACUUUGAUAAGGCCCGAAUUGUGACGGCUGGACGGCUGGGUCAGAGCAUCUCCAAAACAGCAGGUGUUGUGGCGUGUUCCCAGUAUGCAGUGGUUAGUACCUACCAAAAGUGGUCCAAAUAAGGAUAACCGGUGAACCGGCGAC